ensembl:miRNA
GGCUCAGUAGCCAGUGUAGAUCCUGUCUUUUGUAAUCAGCAGCUACAUCUGGCUACUGGGUCUC